rnacentral:rRNA from 1 species
UACGGAGGGUGCAAGCGUUAUCCGGAUUCACUGGGUUUAAAGGGUGCGUAGGCGGCUAUGUAAGUCCGUGGUGAAAUCUCCGGGCUUAACUCGGAAAGGUCAACUGAUACUGUGCGACUAGAGUGCAGAAGGGGCAACUGGAAUUCUCGGUGUAGCGGUGAAAUGCGUAGAUAUCGAGAGGAACACCUGCGGCGAAGGCGGGUUGCUGGGCUGACACUGACGCUGAUGCGCGAAAGCCAGGGGAGCGAACGGG